GUCUACGGCCAUGCCACCCUGAACAAGCCUGAUGUCUGAUCUCGGAAGCUAAGUAGGAUUGGGCCUGGUUAGUACUUGGAUGGGAGACCCCCUAGGAAGACCAGGUGCUGUAGGAG
rnacentral:rRNA from 1 species